rnacentral:rRNA from 1 species
AGUCGAGCGGGUAGCAAUACCUAGCGGCAGACGGGUGCGUAACAUGUGGGAAUCUGCCUUUUGGUUCGGAACAACAUGGGGAAAACCUGUGCUAAUACCGGAUAAGUCCUAACGGAGAAAGUUUUAAUGCCAAAAGAUGAGCCCGCAUUUGAUUAGCUUGUUGGUGAGGUAAAAGCUCACCAAGGCUAUAAUCAAUAGCUGAUUUGAGAGGAUGAUCAGCCACACUGGGACUGAGAUACGGCCCAGACUCCUACGGGAGGCAGCAGUGGGGAAUCUUGCACAAUGGGCGAAAGCCUGAUGCAGCGAUGCCGCGUGAGUGAAGAAGGCCUUUGGGUUGUAAAGCUCUUUUGUCGGGAAAGAUAAUGACUGUACCCGAAGAAUAAGGUCCGGCUAACUUCGUGCCAGCAGCCGCGGUAAUACGAAGGGACCUAGCGUAGUUCGGAAUUACUGGGCGUAAAGAGUAUGUAGGCGGCUAGAUAAGUUAAUUGUGAAAGCCCAAAGCUUAACUUUGGAACUGCAAUUAAAACUAUUUUAGCUGGAGUAUGAUAGAGGAAAGCGGAAUACAUAGUGUAGAGGUGAAAUUCGUAGAUAUUAUGUAGAACACCAGUUGCGAAGGCGGCUUUCUGGAUCAUUACUGACGCUGAGAUACGAAAGUAUGGGUAGCGAAGAGGAUUAGAUACCCUCGUAGUCCAUACCAUAAACGAUGAUUAUUAAAUGUGGGGAAUUAUUUCUCUGUAUUAUAGCUAACGCGUUAAAUAAUCCGUCGUG